AAAUUGAAGAGUUUGAUCAUGGCUCAGAUUGAACGCUGGCGGCAGGCCUAACACAUGCAAGUCGAGCGGUAACACAGAGAGCUUGCUCUCG
rnacentral:rRNA from 1 species